rnacentral:rRNA from 1 species
GGGGAAGGAUUAGCGGCGAACGGGUGAGGAACACGUGAGGAAUCUGCCUUCAACACUGGGAUAACUCCGGGAAACCGGGGCUAAUACCGGAUACGAGAGCUGCAGGCAUCUGCGGCUCUGGGAAGUUUUUCGGUUGAAGAUGACCUCGCGGCCUAUCAGCUUGUUGGUGAGGUAAUGGCUCACCAAGGCGACGUCGGGUAGCCGGCCUGAGAGGGCGACCGGCCACACUGGGACUGAGACACGGCCCAGACUCCUACGGGAGGCAGCAGUGGGGAAUAUUGGGCAAUGGAGGAAACUCUGACCCAGCGACGCCGCGUGCGGGAUGAAGGCCUUCGGGUUGUAAACCGCUUUCAGCAGGGAAGAAGCGAAAGUGACGGUACCUGCAGAAGAAGCACCGGCUAACUAUGUGCCAGCAGCCGCGGUAAUACAUAGGGUGCAAGCGUUGUCCGGAAUUAUUGGGCGUAAAGAGCUCGUAGGUGGUUCGUCACGUCGGAUGUGAAAAUCUGGGGCUUAACCCCAGACCUGCAUUCGAUACGGGCGAGCUAGAGUGUGGUAGGGGAGUCUGGAAUUCCUGGUGUAGCGGUGGAAUGCGCAGAUAUCAGGAGGAACACCAAUGGCGAAGGCAGGACUCUGGGCCAUUACUGACACUGAGGAGC